UCCUACGGGAGGCAGCAGUAGGGAAUCUUCCACAAUGGGCGAAAGCCUGAUGGAGCAACGCCGCGUGAGUGAUGAAGGCCUUCGGGUUGUAAAACUCUGUCAUUCGGGACGAACCGGAGUCUGAGGAAAUGCAGACUCUCUGACGGUACCGGAGGAGGAAGCCCCGGCUAACUACGUGCCAGCAGCCGCGGUAAUACGUAGGGGGCAAGCGUUGUCCGGAUUCACUGGGCGUAAAGCGCGCGCAGGCGGUGAUGUAAGUCUGAGGUGAAAACCCGAAGCUCAACUUCGGGACUGCCUCGGAUACUGCGUCACUUGAGGAUAGGAGAGGCAAGGGGAAUUCCACGUGUAGCGGUGAAAUGCGUAGAGAUGUGGAGGAACACCUGUGGCGAAGGCGCCUUGCUGGCCUAUUUCUGACGCUGAGGCGCGAAAGCGUGGGGAGCAAACAGGAUUAGAUACCCUGGUAGUCCACGCUGUAAACGAUGAGUGCUAGGUGUAGGUGGGCUCAUACCCAUCUGUGCCGAAGCUAACGCAUUAAGCACUCCGCCUGGGGAGUACGGUCGCAAGACUGAAACUCAAAUGAAUUGACGG
rnacentral:rRNA from 1 species